rnacentral:rRNA from 1 species
AUCCGUAUAAAUCCGUGUUUAAGCGGGCGGAGCGAGCGAGGAGAGUUACCAAUCCAUUGGUUAGCCGAAUCCGCUGGAAAGCGGAGCCAGAGCAGGUGAGAGCCCUGUAGGCGAAAACCGGUGGACUCUCUUGUUUUUAUCUUGAGUACCUCGAGGCCAACGAACCUUGAGGGAAUCCGGGAGUACUAUCUCCUAAGGCUAAAUACGUUCGGUGACCGAUAGUGAACUAGUACCGUGAGGGAAAGGUGAAAAGCAGCCCGGUGAGGGCGAUGAAAUAGUACCUGAAACCAUCCACUUACAAGGAAGCAACGCCGAUGCGUAGCAUCGGAAUGACGAAUUUUGAAUUCUUAAUUUUGAUUGAAUUUCUUAAUGGUUUAAUUUUUAAAUUAAGUCAUUGGAAUUUGAUUAGAAAUUAGAAAUUAAAAAUUGGAAAUUCCGCUGCUGCGCAUCGGUUAUGCUGUGCCUAUUGAAGAAUGAGCCAACGAGUUUAUGUAUGCUGCAAAGUCUAACCCGCCUCAGGCGGAGAAGGCGUAGCGAAAGCGAGUCUGAACAGGGCGCCGCGUUCACUUCGUUCCGCUGAUGCGAUACUAAUAUACGAAUUCAUACUAAUAAUACGAAUAAUACCAAUUGUUCGUAUCCAUUAGUAUCAUUCGCAUACAUUCGUAUAUUGGUAUCGUGUCAGCGAGCGGAGCGAGCGAUAGCAGCAUGUGUAAAACCCGAAACCAGACGAGCUUGCCUUGGCCAGGGUGAAAGCCGAUGAAAAUCGGCUGGAGGCCCGCACCGGUGAGUCGUUCAACACUCUCGGAUGAGCUGGGGUAAGAAGUGAAAAGCUAAUCGAGUCUGGUAAUAGCUGGUUCUCUCCGAAAUAGUUUUAGGACUAGCCUCGCAUGUUUCCCACUGGAGGUAGAGCACUGGAUGAACGGCAAAGGGCGAAAGCUCGGCCGCUCAAUCAAACUCCGAAUGCCAGCGGGUAAAAGUGCGGGAGUCAGACCGUGGGGGCUAAGCUCCAUGGUCGCGAGGGGAAGAGCCCAGACCGCCGUCUAAGGUCCCCAAGUGCGUGCUCAGUGUGAAAGGUAGUCAGUGUGCCCUGACAGAUAGGAGGUUGGCUUAGAGGUAGCCAUCCUUUAAAGAGUGUGUAACAACUCACUAUUCGAGGACACUGGCGCCGAAAAUUUAUCGGGGCUUAAGCACGCCACCGAAGCCGCGGCGUUGCUCGCUCGAAUAAAUACCGAAUGUUAACGAAUCAAAACCGAAUCGUAUUUGAUUUACAUUUGAUUCUAUUCGAUGUUUAUUCGGGCGAGUAACGGGUAGGAGAGCAUUCCCUGUGCAGUGAAGCCGCACCCGUGAGGGGCGGUGGAGUGCAGGGAAGAGAGAAUGUUGGCACGAGUAAUCGCAAAUCUAGUGAAAACCUAGAUCUCCGCAAAUCCAAGGUUUCCUCCGCAACGAACAUCGACGGAGGGUGAGGCGGCCCUAAGGCAAUGGCGAAAGCCGCAGCUGAAGGACAGCCGGUUAAUAUUCCGGCCCGCCCAUGUUUUUCGAUGGGGCGACGAAGCGCAGUACGCGAGGCGUCUUAAUGGUUUGACGUCCUUGGCGCGAGCGUGGUAUCCAGGCAAAUCCGGAUACCUGCCUUUCAUGGCGAACGUCAGCGCAGAGGCGAGGUGAGGUUCUUACCUUACCGAGUCCGCAGAGCGCGUUUCCAAGAAAACCCCCUAAGGUUAGGAACAUGGGCACCGUACCGUAAACCGCCACAGGUGGAUGAGGCGAGUAGCCUCAGGAGAACGGGUGAUUCUUCGUUAAGGAACUCGGCAAAAAAGCUAGGCGUAACUUCGGGAUAAGCCUUGCGUUGCUCGCUCUAAUAAGGAGCGAAUCUUAUCGAAUUUUUAUCGAAUAUUAUUCGUUACUAAUUCGGUUUCAUUCGUUUUUUAUUUGAGCGAGUGACGCUGCAACUAAAGUUUCUCUGGCGACUGUUUACCAAAAACACAGCUCCCUGCGAACUCGUAAGAGGAUGUAUAGGGGGUGACGCCUGACCGAUGCGAGAAGGUUAAUCUUGGCGGUGCGUUCCGCUCUCGCGUCACGACCGCCUCAUAGCUACGAAAUACGAAAAAAUACGAAAGUACGAAAGAUUUGAAA